UGAGGGAGAGGCAGAUGGAAUUGGUGGUGUAGGGGUAAAAUCCGUAGAGAUCACCAGGAAUACCCAUUGCGAAGGCGAUCUGCUGGAACUCAACUGACGCUAAUGCGUGAAAGCGUGGGGAGCAAACAGGAUUAGAUACCCUGGUAGUCCACGCCCUAAACGAUGUAUACUAGUUGUUGCUAAGCUAGUCUUGGCAGUAAUGCACCUAACGGAUUAAGUAUACCGCCUGGGGAGUACGGUCGCAAGAUUAAAACUCAAAGGAAUAGACGGGGACCCGCACAAGCGGUGGAGCAUGUGGUUUAAUUCGAAGAUACGCGAAGAACCUUACCCGGACUUGAUAUCUAACAAAUCAUCUAGAGAUAGAAGAGUGUCUGCUUGCAGAAAUGUUAAGACAGGUGCUGCACGGCUGUCGUCAGCUCGUGUCGUGAGAUGUUGGGUUAAGUCCCGCAACGAGCGCAACCCACGUCAUUAGUUGCUAACAGUUCGGCUGAGCACUCUAAUGAGACUGCCUUCGUAAGGAGGAGGAAGGUGUGGACGACGUCAAGUCAUCAUGGCCCUUAUGUC
rnacentral:rRNA from 1 species